rnacentral:rRNA from 1 species
UCUGAAAUCUUAGGUAAAUCCGGGGUUUCAAGGCCGAGAGCUGAUGACGAGUCGUCUUUUAGAUGACGAAGUGGUUGAUGCCAUGCUUCCAAGAAAAGCUUCUAAGCUUCAGGUAACCAGGAACCGUACCCCAAACCGACACAGGUGGUCGGGUAGAGAAUACCAAGGCGCUUGAGAGAACUCGGGUGAAGGAACUAGGCAAAAUGGCACCGUAACUUCGGGAGAAGGUGCGCCGGCUAGGGUGAAGGAUUUAUUCCGUAAGCUCUGGCUGGUCGAAGAUACCAGGCCGCUGCGACUGUUUAUUAAAAACACAGCACUCUGCAAACACGAAAGUGGACGUAUAGGGUGUGACGCCUGCCCGGUGCCGGAAGGUUAAUUGAUGGGGUUAGCGCAAGCGAAGCUCUUGAUCGAAGCCCCGGUAAACGGCGGCCGUAACGAUAACGGUCCUAAGGUAGCGAAAUUCCUUGUCGGGUAAGUUCCGACCUGCACGAAUGGCGUAACGAUGGCGGCGCUGUCUCCACCCGAGACUCAGUGAAAUUGAAAUCGCUGUGAAGAUGCAGUGUAUCCGCGGCUAGACGGAAAGACCCCGUGAACCUUUACUGUAGCUUUGCACUGGACUUUGAGCCUGCUUGUGUAGGAUAGGUGGGAGGCUUUGAAGCGUGGACGCCAGUUCGCGUGGAGCCAUCCUUGAAAUACCACCCUGGCAUGCUUGAGGUUCUAACUCUGGUCCGUAAUCCGGAUCGAGGACAGUGUAUGGUGGGCAGUUUGACUGGGGCGGUCUCCUCCUAAAGAGUAACGGAGGAGUACGAAGGUGCGCUCAGACCGGUCGGAAAUCGGUCGCAGAGUAUAAAGGCAAAAGCGCGCUUGACUGCGAGACAGACACGUCGAGCAGGUACGAAAGUAGGUCUUAGUGAUCCGGUGGUUCUGUAUGGAAGGGCCAUCGCUCAACGGAUAAAAGGUACUCCGGGGAUAACAGGCUGAUACCGCCCAAGAGUUCAUAUCGACGGCGGUGUUUGGCACCUCGAUGUCGGCUCAUCACAUCCUGGGGCUGAAGCCGGUCCCAAGGGUAUGGCUGUUCGCCAUUUAAAGUGGUACGCGAGCUGGGUUUAGAACGUCGUGAGACAGUUCGGUCCCUAUCUGCCGUGGACGUUUGAGAUUUGAGAGGGGCUGCUCCUAGUACGAGAGGACCGGAGUGGACGAACCUCUGGUGUUCCGGUUGUCACGCCAGUGGCAUUGCCGGGUAGCUAUGUUCGGAAAAGAUAACCGCUGAAAGCAUCUAAGCGGGAAACUUGCCUCAAGAUGAGAUCUCACUGGGAACUUGAUUCCCCUGAAGGGCCGUCGAAGACUACGACGUUGAUAGGCUGGGUGUGUAAGCGUUGUGAGGCGUUGAGCUAACCAGUACUAAUUGCCCGUGAGGCUUGACC